AACGAACGCUGGCGGCGUGCCUAACACAUGCAAGUCGAACGGGUUGGGGGGGCUUGCUUCCCUAACUAGUGGCGCACGGGUGAGUAACGCGUAGAUAAUCUGCCUGAUGAUCUGGGAUAACACUUCGAAAGGGGUGCUAAUACCGGAUAAGCCCACGGAGACUUUGGUUUUUGCGGGAAAAGGGGGGGACCAUUUGGCCUUCUGUCAUCAGAUGAGUCUGCGUACCAUUAGCUAGUUGGUAGGGUAAAGGCCUACCAAGGCUACGAUGGUUAGCUGGGCUGGGAGGAUGAGCAGCCACAUGGGAACGGAGACACGGUCCAGACUCCUACGGGAGGCAGCAGUGGGGAAGUUUGGGCAAUGGGCGAAAGCCUGACGCAGCAACGCCGCGUGAGUGAUGAAGGCUUUCGGGUCGUAAAGCUCUGUCGAGGGGAAAGAAGUGUACUUUGGUUAAUACCCAUUGUACUUGACGGUACCCCUAAAGGAAGCACCGGCUAACUCCGUGCCAGCAGCCGCCGUAAAAC
rnacentral:rRNA from 1 species